rnacentral:rRNA from 1 species
GACGAACGCUGGCGGCGUGCUUAACACAUGCAAGUCGAACGAGAAGAGAUGAGAAGCUUGCUUCUUAUCAAUUCGAGUGGCAAACGGGUGAGUAACGCGUAAGCAACCUGCCCUUCAGAUGGGGACAACAGCUGGAAACGGCUGCUAAUACCGAAUACGUUCUUUUUGUCGCAUGGCAGAGGGAAGAAAGGGAGGCUCUUCGGAGCUUUCGCUGAAGGAGGGGCUUGCGUCUGAUUAGCUAGUUGGAGGGGUAACAGGCCCACCAAGGCGACGAUCAGUAGCCGGUCUGAGAGGAUGAACGGCCACAUUGGGACUGAGACACGGCCCAGACUCCUACGGGAGGCAGCAGUGGGAAUCUUACCGCAAAUGGACGAAAGUCUGACGAGCAACGCCGCGUGAACGAUGACGGCCUUCGGGUUGUAAAGUUCU